GCCUUCCUGUGUGUUCCUCCCUGUGAGCUCACAUCCCGUUCACCAGCUGACUGGGAAGGGAAGUCAGGACCAGCCCUGACCCCAUCACACCAUCAUAACCUCGGGAUGGCAGGGCUGGAAGGCACCUCAGACGUCAUCCUUUGCAGACUCUUCAUUUUACAGUGAGAGGCAUGACGUGUCCACAGCUGGUUAGUGCCAAAGCCUGGGACAGGCUUCACAUUGUCCAGCUCUUAGUCAGAGCACUGUUGACAAUGUCUGCCUUCACUUGGAAUUCAGCACCUGCUUUCAGUAUAAACCCCUGCAUUUCACUAAAACUGAGCAGACUGCUGGUUUAAAAAAGAGAGGUCCAUCCAGCAGGGAUGAUGCUUUUCCUCGUUGAAAGAGGACAUUCACCUAAUGGGAGACCUGGAGUCAGAAUCUUUCUGAUGUGUGACUUGGCACAGUAACACAAUGCAGGAUGCUGGUGUGUUAAUAAAAAUAAAAAUUGCAUCGCCUACCUCAGAGUCGACAACAAUGUCAAGGAGUUAAUAGUCUUGGCAACACAGAGGCCACUGGACAGAGGCAUAACCUUGCGUGGCAGCUGCACGGGAAUUGGAUUUGGCUCAGGUGUUUCAGAUGACUAAGAACAAAGGGGACCACUCUUGGUAUAGAAGUUCAUCUCGUCGGGAGCAUCUGUGGUUCUUUUAUAAGCAAUGUACAUUCUACAAUAGAGGCAGACCCAGAAAUAAUUCAGAUAUUGGAGUUAGAAGAUCAGGAUUCUAAAAAAACCAAAAGAUCCUGCCUUACUAUGCACCUAUGGCCCUUCAAAGGCGAGAGUAGAAUCUGCUAUGAUUUAGAAGCAAGCAAUAAAAAGUACACAUCAGGGGCAGAGUAAGUAUUUGUGAACAUUGGAUGGUGAUGAAGAAAAGGAAAUGGUG
rnacentral:lncRNA from 1 species